rnacentral:rRNA from 1 species
UCUACGGGGUGCAGCAGUGAGGAAUAUUGGUCAAUGGCCGGAAGGCUGAACCAGCCAAGCCGCGUGAGGGAGGAAGGCGCAGAGCGUCGCAGACCUCUUUUGCCGGGGGACAAAAGGCCGGACUCGUCAGGACCUGAGGGUACCCGGAGAAAAAGCAUCGGGUAAAGCCGUGCCAGAAGCCGCGGAAAUACGGAGGAGGCGAACGUUAUCCGGAUUUAUUGGGGGUAAAGGGUGCGUAGGCGGGAGCAUAAGUCUGGGGUGAAAUCCCGGGGUGUAACCCCGGCGGUGCUUCGGAACCUGGGCGGCUUGAGUGCAGGAGGGGUAAGCGGAAUUCGUAGUGUAGCGGUGAAAUGCGUAGAUAUUAGGAGGAACACCGGUGGCGAAGGCGGCGUACUGGACUGUAACUGACGUUGAGGCUCGAAAGCGUGGGGAGCAAACAGGAUUAGAUACCCCUGUAGUC